GGCGGCGGCGGCGGCUCCUGGGCCCUUGCUCCCUCCUCCAGCGCCGGGCACUUCCGGGCGGGCCCGGAUUUGCCGCCGCGCUUGGGAAGCCGCCACCGCCGCCGCCGCCGCUGCAUGGCACUAGGCUCCCGGCGGGGCAGGUUCCGCAGCCGGCACCGCUCUGGCUAGGCGCACGGAGGCGCCUUGCUUAGCCUGACCCUUAUUUGGCCAGGCGUAAAACUUGUCCUGCCUAAAAGCUUGCUGAGACCUCCUAACUGGUCUAAUCCGCGGGAGACGCCAAAGGCGGCGGCCGUUUGUGCGCACAGGAUUUUUCUUGGAGCUGUAGCAGUCUAGGAAGCCAGGGUGGAACUUUUGCUAAGCUCCCGUUGUAAGCCCAGAGCUGUAAUAACUGCUGAGACACAACCAGCAGUAUACAGGCUCCAGUUGGAAAUCGAGAACUUUCCAGGGCUGUCUGUCACCCAGGCUGGAGUGCAGUGGUGCCAUCACAGCUCACUGCAGCCUCGACCUCCUAGGCUAAAGUGAUCCUCCCAACUCAGCCUCCCAAGUAGCUGGGACUACAGGAAUGUGCCACGCCCAGAUAGUAAACUCCUGCAAAGCAGAUUGUUUGGUUCUUCUUCCUCCACGGUGCCUGACCCAUCGUUCUGCAGAUAUUAGUCACCACUUGUCUUGAGUGGCUACCUGGGGUUAAGAAAAAAGCUCUGCCCUGAAUGCCAAUGGGAAGGACAGCUGUUGCAGCUCCUGAGUGCAGGCCGAGGAAGGCAUUCACCUUCAUGAAAACCAGGACUACUGUGCAUGACAAUGAACUACUGGAUAGAGACUGAUGCCUUUAAGAUAGUCCUACUUUCAAUCUUCUAUCAUGGAGAAUAUCCAAUCAAAUGAGAAGUGGAACAAGUCAAAACAUGUUCCAGGCAAAAUGAAGGAACAAGGAUGACUGGUGGAGAGUAAGCAGUCUGCGUGGUGUGCUGGCUGGCUGAGGUGGUCUUGUGGAUCUGGGACACUGGAGGAACUGCUGUCCUGGGAGGAAAGUCUGGCAAAGCAAGCCUGGAUCAGUGGAAGGGCUUGAGCAGCAGGCUGAGCAGUAUGGGCUUUGGACUACAGAGAAAGCUAAAACGAAGAUUUACAGAUCACUUCCGGCCACCUGGUACACCAACUUCUGGAGAAUUUCUUGCAGAGCUUAGGUAGAAAUCAAGGCAAAGACUACAAAUGGGAUCCUAAAAUUCACCCUAUGUACUCUCUGGAAAUGCAAUAGUUAUGGGCUGUAUCAAUAAACCUGAGUUGCAUAUGAAGUUCACAUGCAAAAAAGGCCUAGCAGGGAGGUGAGCCUGUCCCAGUUCUGGGGAAAUCUGCAAUUCAACUUGGUCAGGUUACCCAAAGACUUGCUGACUUAUGCUGUUGACUCCACUCUAAAUUUUUCAGAAAGUUGGAAACAAAUUUUCAUUUAGAGCAGAAAAAUGCUUUGGUUUGACUGGGAAUGUGUGUGACUAGUAGAAAAGAUCCAUUGGGAAAUUACACUUCAGUGUCUCACAUACCAAAUUCUUGAGGCUUUCUUGAAAUUUGUCAUUGAAUCAUCUUUUUCACAAAUAUCUUACAAUUUUAGCAUUUUAAAAACUUGGCACAUAAGAAGUAGUUACUACUUUUACUUAUUCAUCAAAGCAUGGGCUUUUAUUUCAGUUCACAAAAUGAUCCUUCCAAAGAAUUAAUAUAUUUUCCAACAUUCCUUCCUUACUUUUACUCAUAAUCUUUUCUGUAUUUCUGUUUUUGCUUAAAUAUAUUAAAUUAUUAUCUGCUUUAC